AAAAAUGAUUUAUUUUUUCUCCGUUGGAUUUUUCACAGAUGCGUAGCAAUUUUGAAGUUAAAAAUUCAAUUUAAUUUUAAAAAUUGAUUACACACAUAGAGUAUUGUUGACCGGCCUCAGGUAGGAUGAUUUCUACAUGAAUCAUCUUACGAUUGCUUAACACAACGCUAAUUAUGUAGUUCAAUUUCUUGAUUUUUACUUCGAGUCCCUUGGCUUUCUCUUGGGCCUUCUUACAACGAGAUUCUUUUAUUUUUUCAACACUACAUGAAUCAUCUUACGAUUGCUUAACACAACGCUAAUUAUGUAGUUCAAUUUCUUGAUUUUUACUUCGAGUCCCUUGGCUUUCUCUUGGGCCUUCU
rnacentral:lncRNA from 1 species